rnacentral:rRNA from 1 species
AGCAGCAGCCGCGGUAAUACGAAGGGGGCUAGCGUUGUUCGGAAUUACUGGGCGUAAAGCGCACGUAGGCGGAUAUUUAAGUCAGGGGUGAAAUCCCGCAGCUCAACUGCGGAACUGCCUUUGAUACUGGGUAUCUUGAGUAUGGAAGAGGUUGGUGGAAUUGCGAGUGUAGAGGUGAAAUUCGUAGAUAUUCGCAGGAACACCAGUGGCGAAGGCGGCUAACUGGUCCAUAACUGACGCUGAGGUGCGAAAGCGUGGGGAGCAAACAGGAUUAGAUACCCCAGUAGUCCCUGUCUCUUAUAC